GCGCCAGACUCCUACGGGAGGCAGCAGUGGGGAAUAUUGCACAAUGGGGGAAACCCUGAUGCAGCGACGCCGCGUGAGCGAUGAAGUAUUUCGGUAUGUAAAGCUCUAUCAGCAGGGAAGAAAAUGACGGUACCUGACUAAGAAGCCCCGGCUAACUACGUGCCAGCAGCCGCGGUAAUACGUAGGGGGCAAGCGUUAUCCGGAUUUACUGGGUGUAAAGGGAGCGUAGACGGCGGUGCAAGCCAGAUGUGAAAGCCCGGGGCUCAACCCCGGGACUGCAUUUGGAACUGUGCUGCUAGAGUGUCGGAGAGGCAGGCGGAAUUCCUAGUGUAGCGGUGAAAUGCGUAGAUAUUAGGAGGAACACCAGUGGCGAAGGCGGCUUGCUGGGCUGUAAAUGACGCUGAGGCUCGAAAGCGUGGGGAGCAAACAGGAUUAGAUACCCGUGUA
rnacentral:rRNA from 1 species